ensembl:lncRNA
CUGAAAAGACAUAAAGGAAGCAGUCACCCCAGUCGUGUUUGUGGAGAGGUAUUCCUUCAGAAAUGGAGAAGACAGAAAGCUGCAGAGGCAGGAUUGUUUGCAGAUAAUGCUGUUCUUCUUUUUCAGAAGUUUUUGGUGAGCCAACUCUCACAAACCUUCCUAAAAACUAAAAGAGCUAUUACUGAGUCUCGGCUAAUCUUGCCAUGGUCAGCUCUUCCCAGAAGAGAAGGAAGACCAAGGAAAUUAUUUGCUCAGGAUGAGAAAUGAAGAUGGCCAUCUUGUGCUCAAACAAACAGAAGUCCUCUGGUAUGUGUGUGUUGAAGCAAUGUUGUCUUAUGUGUUACAGGACUUUAUGAUUCCUGUAACUCUAUGAUUAUUCUUUCCAAUGUUUUUUUAUAUUUAUUUUUAUUUUUAUUUGAUACAGCUAUUAUAAUUAUAGCAUGUUAGCAAAGUGUGACUGGAACAUUUUUAAUCUAAAAUUUUUAAAAAACACCACCUGUUUUUCUUAAAAGAACACAAGUGUCAUAAAAGUGGUUUAAUUGAUAUAAACACAAAUUUACAUUAUCUCAUUGUUUUAUAAAUGUUGUGUUAUGGAUUGUGGAUUGAUAGUUGAUUGGUUUGAAGCCAGGCCUUAACCCUGCUCAGACUAAAACACAUUUGUGAGAGAAGUCAGGAACUUUGGAGAAAGAUUCUAGAGAAAAAAAAAGACACAUUUACUGCAACAAUAGAUGAAUUCUAGAGUCUCUGAGAACUACACAUGCUAAUGCAGUCUCAUGAGCAGGACCUUUGCCUCUGUAACUUUUUCUUAAUUCUUGCAGAAUGAAAUUUUUAUUGCAGUAUUUUAAUUUGUACAGAUGAUCUCAUCAGCCAAAUGAGGGGUUUUGACCAAGUGAUGCUCUUGAAAGGAGUGAAAGAAGAGGAUGUGGUAAAUUGUCUUAAAGCAGCUUGAAGAAUGGUAAGUGUACAGUACUACAAGGGUCAUAGUUGCUCACCCUGCUAAAAUCACACAGAACAUAAGCUGAGCUCUCUGUCCAUUAAACAACUUCAUCUGGAUUGUUUGUUUCACUUUGACCAGGUCUGGGAUGUUAGGACUGAGAGAUCCUCUGACUGAGAGAAGCUACACCACAUCAGUGCUGGAUAUCAACCACAAACUGUUUCCAGACACGAGAGAAGAAGAUCAUGAUGGGGAGAUGAAACCAGUUUAGAUGUGAUGAUAAGGAAUCAUUAUUUUCUGAAACAGGAUCAAAUGUCUUAUAUGUAUCACAUGAUCUGUAUCACAGUUGACUGGAUGGGACUGUGUGACUCUUUAAGUACAUUUCAUCACUCAUCUGUGUGAACUGAUUAAUAUAUGAGGUUAAUGUAUUUUUGAUUAUGAAUAAUUAUUUUCCUUGAAUCUUAUUUGUCUUGAUGCUACUUUAUCAUCUGUAUAGUCUAUGCUUCAAUAAAAUGAAAAUUGUGAAUAUUGUGUUCUGAAGAUUCUUGGUAAACACAUCAUUUUACUAGGUAGGCUCAUAUGUGUUUAUUU